GCCCAGAUGGCUCAGUGGUAGAGCACAUUCUUGGUAAGAAUGGGGUCGCGGGUUCGAUUCCCGCUCUGGGCUCCA
rnacentral:tRNA from 1 species